rfam:Salmo salar isolate Sally breed double haploid chromosome ssa21, whole genome shotgun sequence.
GAAAUGCACUACUGUAAGUCGCUCUGGAUAAGAGCGUCAGCUAAAUGACUCAAA